CUACGGGACGCAGCAGUGAGGAAUAUUGCACAAUGGGGGGAACCCUGGUGCAGCAACGCCGCGUGGAGGAUGACGCAUUUCGGUGUGUAAACUCCUUUUAUAUGUCAAGAAAAUGACGGUAGCAUAUGAAUAAGCACCGGCUAACUCCGUGCCAGUAGCCGCGGUAAUACGGAGGGUGCAAGCGUUACUCGGAAUCACUGGGCGUAAAGGACGCGUAGGCGGGUUGGAAAGUCAGGUGUGAAAUCCUACAGCUUAACUGUAGAACUGCACUUGAAACUUCUAAUCUAGAGUAUGGGAGGGGGAGAUGGAAUUAGUGGUGUAGGGGUAAAAUCCGUAGAUAUCACUAGGAAUACCUAAAGCGAAGGCGAUCUCCUGGAACAUUACUGACGCUAAGGCGUGAAAGCGAGGGGAGCAAACAGGAUUAGAUACCCCCGUAGUC
rnacentral:rRNA from 1 species